AUUGAACGCUGGCGGCAGGCCUAACACAUGCAAGUCGAGCGGAUGCAGGGAGCUUGCUCCUGGAUUCAGCGGCGGACGGGUGCGUAAUGCCUAUGAAUCUGCCUGUUAGUGUGGGAUAACGUCCGGAAACGGGCGCUAAUACCGCAUACGUCCUGAGUGAGAAAGUGGGGGAUCUUCGGACCUCACGCUAGCACAUGAGCCUAGGUCGGAUUAGCUAGUUGGUGGGGUAAAGGCCUACCAAGGCGACGAUCCGUAACUGGUCUGAGAGGAUGAUCAGUCACACUGGAACUGAGACACGGUCCAGACUCCUACGGGAGGCAGCAGUGGGGAAUAUUGGACAAUGGGCGAAAGCCUGAUCCAGCCAUGCCGCGUGUGUGAAGAAGGUCUUCGGAUUGUAAAGCACUUUAAGUUGGGAGGAAGGGCAGUAAGUUAAUACAUUGCUGUUUUGACGGUACCAACAGAAUAAGCACCGGCUAACUUCGUG
rnacentral:rRNA from 1 species